AUUGAACGCUGGCGGCAGGCCUAACACAUGCAAGUCGAGCGGAGCGGCGGACGGGUGAGUAAUGCCUAGGAAUCUGCCUGGUAGUGGGGGAUAACGUCCGGAAACGGGCGCUAAUACCGCAUACUAUCAGAUGAGCCUAGGUCGGAGUAGCUAGUUGGUGGGGUAAAGGACUACCAAGUCGACGAUCCGUAACUGGUCUGAGAGGAUGAUCAGUCACACUGGAACUGAGACACGGGCCAGAAUCCUACGCGAGGAAGCAUGGGGGAAUAUUGGACAGUGUGCGAAAGCCUGACCCAGCCAUGCCGCGUGUGUGAAGAAGGUCUUCGGAUUGUAAAGCACUUUAAGUUGGGAGGCGUUACCAACAGAAUAAUCACCUGCUAACUUCGUGCCAGCCGCCGCGGUAAUUC
rnacentral:rRNA from 1 species